AACGAACGCUGGCGGCAGGCCUAACACAUGCAAGUCGAGCGAGGACUUCGGUCCUAGCGGCGGACGGGUGAGUAACGCGUGGGAACGUGCCCUUUGCUUCGGAAUAGCCCUGGGAAACUGGGAGUAAUACCGGAUGAGCCCUUUGGGGGAAAGAUUUAUCGGCGAAGGAUCGGCCCGCGUUGGAUUAGGUAGUUGGUGGGGUAAUGGCCUACCAAGCCGACGAUCCAUAGCUGGUUUGAGAGGAUGAUCAGCCACACUGGGACUGAGACACGGCCCAGACUCCUGCGGGAGGCAGCAGUGGGGAAUCUUAGACAAUGAGGGAAACCCUGAUCUAGCCAUGCCGCGUGAGCGAUGAAGGCCUUAGGGUUGUAAAGCUCUUUCAGCUGGGAAGAUAAUGACGGUACCAGCAGAAGAAGCCCCGGCUAACUCCGUG
rnacentral:rRNA from 1 species